GUUUGAGCUCGUUUUAGGUUAGAGUUUCAAUGUGAAACUCUAGCUUAAACCUGAGGAUUCUUGAGCUUUAGUGAAAAAGGAAUUUUGGGAUUUCUUAGCAGAGUUACGGUAUCUUUGUUUGGCGUAGUCUUUCUGUAUUUAUAGGGUGAUUGUGAAGGAUAUUCCUCUCAUGAUGAGCUGGAAAUCUUUGGAUAAAUCCAUUAGGAAAUCCUUGGUGUAUCCCAGAUUUCGUGGGGGAUCCAGCUGUGUGUUUUUUUAUGAAGGAAUGGUUGUCUGUAGCGAGUAAAAAUCCUUUUGUGUCUCUUGUGGUCCCAUACGAUUAGGAUAUACUUGGUUUACCGCAAUUAUUUCUUUAUGUGAUGUCUUAAUUAUUUUCUUCCUAUUAUGAUAAACCAAUAUGCCUUGCCGUGUAACAUGUUAUUAGCUUCAUGUUUCGUUUUCUUUUUAUUUCCCUUGUGUGCUACUCUUUAGACUCAUGGUUUCCAUGUAUUGAUUGCGACUCGAAGCGUACCGUAACUAGGAUUUAGUCCACGUGUGCUAUGAUAUUGCCAUUCUCACUUUGUUCUUGUUCUGCUCACAUUUUUCCUUUCUUGCAGGUUGUACCACAUAAUUGUUUAGACAUUCAUGGUAUUCAAAACCAGAUUUCGAAGCAUGCCUCUUCUCAUGGACUUAACACAAUGAAACUUUGAAGAUAUACUUAUGAUGGGGAAUUUUGGCUGGUAUCUUCCUAAAGUGACCCGAAGAAAUGAGUGCAAGGAGUUGCCAUUUAUAUAACAUGUUGUCUUAAGUUUAAAACAUUGGCUUUGAUAUGUAAUCUCAUCUUUGGACUAUGGGCUAGGAUUUAUGCAAAUUGUAAUGUAAUCCCUUUUGUCCAUGUGGUUCCCUCAUUAUUGUGUACAUAAAAAGAAUCUUCGUAAUCCUGAAUUAAUGAUCCCAACUAUCUUUGUUACGAAA
rnacentral:lncRNA from 1 species